rnacentral:rRNA from 1 species
GACGAACGCUGGCGGCGUGCCUAAUACAUGCAAGUCGAGCGAAGUUUUUCUGGUGCUUGCACUAGAAAAACUUAGCGGCGAACGGGUGAGUAACACGUAAAGAACCUGCCUCAUAGACUGGGACAACUAUUGGAAACGAUAGCUAAUACCGGAUAACAGUAUUUCUCGCAUGAGAGAUAUUUAAAAGUUGGUUAUGCUAACACUAUGAGAUGGCUUUGCGGUGCAUUAGCUAGUUGGCGGGGUAAAGGCCCACCAAGGCGACGAUGCAUAGCCGACCUGAGAGGGUGAUCGGCCACACUGGGACUGAGACACGGCCCAGACUCCUACGGGAGGCAGCAGUAGGGAAUCUUCCGCAAUGGGCGAAAGCCUGACGGAGCAACGCCGCGUGAGUGAAGAAGGAUUUCGGUUCGUAAAGCUCUGUUGUUAGGGAAGAAUGGAUAUGUAGUAACUAUACAUGUAAGAGACGGUACCUAACCAGAAAACCACGGCUAACUACGU